rnacentral:rRNA from 1 species
GACAGAGGCCUCAAGCGUUAGGCGGAAUCACUGGGCUUAAAGCGCGUGUAGGCGGUUCGGUAAGUCCGCUGUGAAAGUCGGGGGCUCAACCUCGAGACGCCGGUGGAAACCAUCAGGCUAGAGUCCGGAAGAGGAGAGUGGAAUUCCUGGUGUAGCGGUGAAAUGCGCAGAUAUCAGGAAGAACACCCGUGGCUAAGGCGGCUCUCUAGUACGGUACUGACGCUGAGACGCGAAAGCGUGGGGAGCGAACAGG